rnacentral:sRNA from 1 species
UUUGCGUUAGGGAUGGAAGCGGCAUCCUUUUGUGAGAGCAGUAAUUUUCAGGUUUAAACUACUAUUACCCGAACAAAAGAUACAGCGUACAGCCCGACCUUGU